GUGGGGGAUAUUGCACAAUGGGCGCAAGCCUGAUGCAGCGACGCCGCGUGUGGGAAGACGGCCCUCGGGUUGUAAACCACUGGCUUUGGGGACGAUAAUGACGGUACCCAAGGAGGAAGCUCCGGCUAACUACGUGCCAGCAGCCGCGGUAAUACGUAGGGAGCGAGCGUUGUCCGGAAUUACUGGGUGUAAAGGGAGCGUAGGCGGGAGUGCAAGUUGAAUGUUUAAUCUAUGGGCUCAACCCAUAUCAGCGUUCAAAACUGCAUUUCUUGAGUGAAGUAGAGGUUGGCGGAAUUCCUAGUGUAGCGGUGAAAUGCGUAGAUAUUAGGAGGAACACCAGUGGCGAAGGCGGCCAACUGGGCUUUUACUGACGCUGAGGCUCGAAAGCGUGGGGAGCAAACAGGAUUAGAAACCCGAGUAGUCC
rnacentral:rRNA from 1 species